UGCAUCGGCCGGAAAUCGAACCCGGGCCGCCAGCGUGGUAGGCGAGCAUUCUACCACUUAACCACUGAUGG
rnacentral:tRNA from 1 species